CCUCGGCCUCGGUUAAAUUCCUCAUUCAGAGAGACAAGCGUGUAAUUGUGGAAGUCAGUUUCUCUACAAGAAAAACAGAGCCAAACCCAAAGUAAAUCUGUGGGGAGGGGCAGAGGGACCAUUGCUGAUAUCAACACCAGACAAAGUAUGCAAAGGAAGCAGCUCUCAGCCCUAGAGCAGCUUGGGCUUGACUGUCUCAGGAACCAGAAAGCAGGGAUGGUGGAGCUUUGUGUCUCUCCCUAUGCCCAGCUUCCUGGCACCACCAGCAGAAGACAGAACAUCUUCGUGCAGAGCCACAGAGGCUGAGCAUGCACCAAGGCAGCUGCACGAACAGCUAAAUCAAGGACAGCAAAAACUCAGAGUGGUAGCAAGAAAGUUGGCAUCCAUCAGCAUGCAUCUGGAACUUUUCUGGCCUGCCCAGUAGUAAGAGUAAUA